GCCAUAACACAUUAAAAUACCAGUUCCCAUAUGAUCACCAACGUUAAGCAAUGUUGUGCCUAGUCAGUACCUAGAUGGGUGACUGCUUUGGAAUACUAGCUGCUGUAAG